ACCAUCCUCAGCCGUCAGGAGGUUUAUGGUUUCCCAGCUGGAUUUCUGCCCUUUUAGCAAUGAGUUUGGGCAUUUUCUGUUAGCAGACAGAACGUGAGGGUUUGUAUUCAUAGCUGCAGUUUAUUCCCUCAUCAUUUCUCCGUAGCAGCGUAACAUGCCAGGGAUAGAAUUUCUUCCCCGAGGAAACUCCACCUCCACCCAUACACAGCCAGACCAGUGAUUCCACUACAACGUUCCCGGAGCUCCUGUGCGGGAAAGCUGAGUCAGGGCAUGGAGAGCGAAAAUAAAAACAUGUACCAACCAAACGUGGUGACCAUGCAGCCUAUGCCAAUGUCCGACCAGCCCCGGCCAAAGGAUUACUUGGUGUUCUCCAUUUUUAACCUGGUCUGUUGCUGCAUGCCCAUUGGGAUCGCUGCCCUCAUCUUCUCCAUCAAGACACGAGACGCUACGGCCCGGAGCGACUGGUCCACGGCAGGAAAACACUCUCGUACGACCUUACAUCUGAAUAUUGCGUCUGUGGUGAUUGGGAUCAUUCUGUCAGUUGUCUUUGUUGCCCUUUACGCUUACUUUGGUUUACAUAAAGAUUAACCCCUCCGCACCCCGUAAAUGACAUGAAGUGGGUGACCAGUCAGCGCUACAGAAGUCACACCCUGAAGAUGUGUAAAUAAAAUGCUUUCAAAUGCUGAA